rnacentral:misc_RNA from 1 species
GUGUGCUGCUCACCUUAAAAGAAUUAGCUGGACAUGUCGCAUGACUUGGUUCUACUUGGCGUAAUAAGUAUUUCGCUGAGGACAUCCCUUGGGGUGGCCAGGACUUGUGGUGGACGUCUGCUUUCUAACCUCAUAGUCUCUCGGGACAUGACUUUUUAUGAUCUGGCCUCAAAUCAGGUAGGACUACCCGCUGAACUUAA